rnacentral:rRNA from 1 species
GACGAACGCUUGCGGCGUGCCUAAGAAAUGCAAGUCGAGCGAGAUCUUGCGCUGACCAAAGCUUCGGCAGAGGUCUUGUGAGGUCUAGCGGCGAACGGUCGCGUAACACGUAAGCAACCUGCCCUGAAGUGUGGGAUAGCCCACCGAAAGGUGGAUUAAUACCGCAUGUGGAUACUUUCAUGCAUGUGAUAGUGUCUAAAGCAGCAAUGCGCUUCAGGAUGGGCUUGCGGCCUAUCAGCUAGUUGGUGGGGUAACGGCCUACCAAGGCGACGACGGGUAGCUGGUCUGAGAGGACGAUCAGCCGGAUUGGGACUGAGAUACGGCCCAGACUCCUACGGGGGGGCAGCAAUUAGGAAUCUUGCGCAAUGGGGGAAACCCUGACGCAGCGACGCCGCGUGAAUGAUGAAGUCUUUCGGGAUGUAAAGUUCUGUCCUAUGGGAAGAAGAAUGUGACGGUCCCAUAGAGAAAGCCCCGGCUAACU